CUUCUCUUGCUGCACUCAAAAAGUGGGUCUCACAUACUGUGUUCAGAAAUCUGACAUCUUAUUGUGUAUUGGAAACAAAGUGGAUCUUGUUCCUGGUCACUCAGCUCAUGAUGAAUACAAAAGGCGUUUACAGAGGCUUGCAGAUCCUUUUGCUGGUUCAGAUGUGGAUUCAUUUGAGUAUGGAGUUUUUGAAUCUGAGGGUAGUAGUUUAUUGGGAAAUGAUGAGCCAUCUUGUGAUAUCAAGAGCUCAUGCUUUGGAUGGUGCAUGGAGCAUAACAUUGAAUAUGUUGAGGCGUGCGCUUCUAAUCCUGAAUUUGAUAAAUGUUCAAGAGAUAUACAAACAAUAAUAUGAGAAGAUCAAUGAGCUUCUAAGAAAGCUUCAGAAUGCUCAUGAGGAGUCAAAAGCUGUGACAAAGGCUUCUGCAAUGAAAGGUUUUCACAACUCCAAGGGAGGGGCUCUUUACCAAGAGGAGUUGGAUGAAGUUCGAGACAAGUGGGCUACUUACUUCAACUAUUGUGAACUACCCUCAGUGUAAUAAAUAGAACAGACUUGUAGUUAUCCG